rnacentral:rRNA from 1 species
AACAAACGCUGGCGGCGUGCCUAAUACAUGCAAGUCGAACGGGGAAAGCUUUCGGGUGAGUACUAGUGGCGCACGGGUGAGUAACGCGUGGAUAAUCUGCCUUAGAGUGGGGGAUAACUAGUCGAAAGAUUAGCUAAUACCGCAUAAGACCACAAGAACUGCGGUUCAAGGGGUCAAAGGUUUCUCGCUCUAAGAUGAGUCCGCGUAAGAUUAGCUAGUUGGUAGGGUAACGGCCUACCAAGGCGACGAUCUUUAACUGGUCUGAGAGGAUGAUCAGUCACACUGGAACUGAGACACGGUCCAGACUCCUACGGGAGGCAGCAGUAGGGAAUAUUGCACAAUGGAGGAAACUCUGAUGCAGCGAUGCCGCGUGAGUGAUGAAGGCCUUCGGGUCGUAAAGCUCUGUCGCAGGGGAAUAACACAAUGAAGGUACCCUGUAAGAAAGGAUCGGCUAACUUCGUGCCAGCAGCCGCGGUAAGAC